CUGUUAAAUGUCUUAAAGGUUAAAUGUCUUGAAUGUUCUUUAGUUCCUGUAAAUGCCCGUUGAUGAUUAAAUUCUUUAUUUCUGAAGAAUUCUCCAGCAUCUCCUCACUCCUUCCCGAGUGUAAUUGUGACAGAACAGCAGACCAAGAAAAAACGAGCAAUCUUCAUAUCACUGGCUCAGGCGAGCCCCGACCCAAUUGUGUUUGCGAGGGUGUUUGUGCCACUCACCCUUGCCAGCUCCCUUGAGGGGAAACCCUAAAGACGCUGUUCCGGAUUGGGAUAACUUACCAUCGUCCCACGGAGCUCCCAGACACCACCACCCUCGGCUGGAAGGAGGCAGUCAUCCGGUGUCUGGAGAGUAUCCGAUCCCGAUCCGGAACCAGUCAGCCAGGGGCUCUGGAUCCCCAGUUAAGCCCAGGGAGGGAUCCUGUUCCCAAGAUAAGCCCACGGCGGGCUCCCGUUCCUGAGUCAAGCCCAGGAUGGGCUCCCGUUCCCAAAUUAAGCCCACGGCGGGCUUCCGUUCCUGAGUUAAGCCCACGGCAGGCUCCCGUUCCCAAGUUCAGCCCAGGAAGGGCUCCCGAUCCCCAGUUCAGCCCAGGAAGGGCUCCCGGUCCCCCGUUAAGUCCAGUGUUGUCUCCUGAUUUCCCCGUUAAGCCCAGGGAGGGCCCCAGAUCCCCCGUUAAGCCCAGGAAGGGCUCUAGAUCUCCAGCCAGCCCCAGAGCUCGCUCCAGUGUCGGCUCCAGCCCCAGAGCUCGCUCCAGUGUCAGCUUCAGCCCCAGAGCGUCCAUCAAGGUACCUAGUUUUCCCCAAUAAUUUUUUUUUUUUUGAUUGGGGGGGCCCUAUUCCUGUGGCCGGGCUGGCUAAGGUCACAGAGGAUCCGCCUUGGCCUCCUGAGUCUCUAGAUCCGCCAUGGCAACCGAAACUGCCUGCUCCGCCAUGGCUUCCUGAUCUGCCCUGUCCCAGUCCUGCACCAGCCUCCAGGGUGCCCGCACCCCCUCCUCGGUGGUAUUUUUACAGCGCAGGACGCACCUUCAGGGAGCGAGCGAUCUGUCACAUGUUUGUUCCUGUUUUCCUUAUUUGGUCCUUCCUAUUCCUGUCCUCGUUAUGGGAAUUUGGUUCCAGUUGUUUGAUGAUUGGUUAGUUUGUUCCCAGUUGUGUCUCGUCUUCCCAUUGUCAUGUUCUGUGUAUAAUUAGUGUUCCCUGUUUUGAGUUCGCUGUCUGCUGGUAAAUGUCGUGAAUGUCUGAAUUUCUUAAAGGUUAAAUGUCUUGAAUAUCCUUCAGUUCCUCUAUAUGCCCGUUGAUUAA
ensembl:lncRNA